UGAAAUAUACUUGCAUUUGCUGUGGGUGAGAGGUGCUUAUUGCUUAAGAUCAUUCUCACAUCAGACAAGCGAUGGAUUCCCUUACUCUAUUUAUAUACUUGGAAUAAUUCACCAGCUAACACUUUUCCCAGCUAAAUAAAUGCCCACCUCCUGAAAUGGAUUCAAACUUCUGGAGCACUGAGGUUACACAACAAGGGUCAGUAUACAAAGCACGGUGCCAGAGACAUGCAGCUGUUUCCCUCACUCACGCUCCCUCCUUCUGAUUAUUGAACAUGAGAAUCCCACUUGUAUUCCAGAUACAAACGUAAGCAUGUUAUAUUCCAAAGCUGGGCGCUAUUCCAGACCGGAGUGCUGGGGACAUCCAAGCCUGGCCUACUUGUCAGCACAGCAUCAAGGAAUGCUGGGAAAAUAGACAUUCAUUUUGCAAUCACUGCAUAUUUAAAUUCCACCCCACCCCCAAAACAUACAGACACACUCUAACCCGCUAGCAAGGUUUCCUUUCCAGGCCCUAUCCUUACACAGAUACCCUAAUUCUUCUCCUUAAAUGAAUUUGGAAGACCUACAGUGCUUUCAGGGAAGCUGUAUCAAGAGAACACAUUUGUCUAUGCAUAGUCACUGACGCCAUUCAUUCGCUAAAGGUCAAUGGCUCAGCAAGAAGAUCCAAAAGGUGUACCGGAAUCUCUGAGGGAAAUGCAAAAGGUUUUUAGCUACAGUGGAGGUGACAGAUCACGGACAGCACAGAAUUCUAUUAGUUUGUAGAUAUGGGACAGAUCCUGCAAUGCCAUUCCCACGGGCAGACUUCUUCACUAAGCCUCCAAGUGGAGGCAGCAGCACCGCAGCUCUGUGCACUGGGCUGUUGCAGUCGCAGGAAGCAAUCUGCAGUUCCUGAGGCAGCAAACACAGCCCAGCCACCUGUACUCCCCACAGGAGAAAGUGGAAGGUGAAAGUGGAAGAUCUCAGAGAGGGGCUUUUACCAGAGACCACCUCCUGGAACAUACCGGCCUAUUUAAUGAGACCCAUGAUACAACAACUCCAUUUCUACCAAUAUAAAUUGUUGGUACCUACCUAUGCUUGCAUAACCUACGGUAAAUCUUCUGACUACACCAAAACUCAUGAAAUCCCUCCACUAAAAUCAUCAAAAGUAUAACCUAAAUAUCUUCACUACUGUCUUUUGGUGAAACCUUCCUGUGCACGUGUGUACAAUACUAAGGCCUGACAGAUGCAGAGGCUACCACGGGGUUUCCAGGUGCCACUCACUGGCAUAGAAGUACUUCUUGCCAUAUUAACAGCCAAAAGUAUUGGAGUUUUUUUUUCCCCAUUAUUCUUUAAAAUUCCUCUUAGUAAAUGCAGUGAAGGACUGUGAAAGUGCAGGUGCAUUGCCAGCUUUCCAGUUUUAGCCACCCACUCCCUCACGACCUGCAGGGGAGACAAAGCUGGUAUGUCAGGAGAACAAAGUUUCUCCUUCCUACUUGGAGAGAACUCUGGUUAAAAUAUGUAACAUCAGCGCCCCUGCACCUUACAGCUAUAAAUACAAAUAAACAGACUAAGUAGCAUUGCAAAGGGAUUUGUUGGUGUACUUCUGCUUUUUAAAUCGAUUUUCAUAGAAAUUCAAUACUUGCUACAAAGAGAUCAAAACGAAGUGUCCUACAGAGCCGAGAGGCUGCAGUUUUGUGUAAGUGCUCUGCUGCUCUCUGCUGGAGCUGAUCAGAUCUUCUCCCCUAUCUGUACACCACCUAGCAGACCCUGAAGGGAGUUGCAUCUCUAAAAUCAUCAGGACUGCUUUGGGAGCUCCAGAUUUGAAAAUAAAAUUAACGUAGCAUAUUAUUAAUCCUUAUAUAAAUGAUAA